rfam:Pseudomonas sp. EGD-AK9 Contig_599, whole genome shotgun sequence.
CGCGUUUUUCGCCCAGGCGGAGCUCGACCGCCGCAUCAAGAGCUGAAGCGCUUCGUCGACACGUACCGAGAUCGCUUCGGGGUCGAGCCGAUCUGCCGUGUGCUGCAGAUCGCCCCG